rnacentral:lncRNA from 1 species
UAUAAUAUAAAUAACACUUUAUUACCAGGUAUGUAAUAAAAAAGAAGACAACUCACUCUUUAUAUGAAAGUAAGUUAAAAAAAAAACACUCAUUAGGACAUGUAUAUGGCAACUAUAUUAACCAAUGCUUGAAAUAAUCCACACAAAAUUAUGUAAGUACGUUAAUAAUUGCAAGAGAGUGACACUUUGAACUUUGAAGGUUUACAAAGAAUUAAUGCAGCUUUACAUAUAAAUGUGGUGGUUGCGACUAUCCAGCUUGGCUUGUCGACACAUUGCUCUCUAUUGCAUUAUGAUACCGCACGUGUUCCAUUUCAUAUAAAUCUUUAUAGAGUGUAAAAAUAGAACAAAUAAAAAAGAUAUCGAAUUGUUGAUCAUUAUUCACUUUUUCAUCGUGGGCGUGGGAAGAAAAAAGUUUUGCAUUAUUAUAACAAAUACAAAAAAUGAAACUAAAUAUAAAUUUGUGAAAAUAAGUAUCAUAACUAGAACAAAAAAAAAACUUGUACAAAAUAAUUGUU